CCUACGGGUGGCAGCAGUAGGGAAUAUUGCUCAAUGGGGGAAACCCUGAAGCAGCAACGCCGCGUGGAGGAUGAAGGUUUUCGGAUUUUAAACUCCUUUUUUUAGAGAAGAUAAUGACGGUAUCUAACGAAUAAGCACCGGCUAACUCCGUUCCAGCAGCCGCGGUAAUACGGAGGGUGCAAGCGUUACUCGGAAUCACUGGGCGUAAAGAGCGCGUAGGCGGGAUAGUAAGUCAGAUGUGAAAUCCAAUAGCUUAACCAUAGAACUGCCUUUGAAACUGUUAUUCUAGAGUAUGGGAGAGGUAGGUGGAAUGCUUGGUGUAGGGGUAAAAUCCUUAGAGAUCAAGCGGAAUACUCAUUGCGAAGGCGACCUGCUAGAACAUAACUGACGCUGAUGCGCGAAAGCGUGGGGAGCAAACAGGAUUAGAUACCCUUGUAGUC
rnacentral:rRNA from 1 species